CAGAAGGGGUCCAGGUGCAAACCCCACUGUUUGUCUGUUUUCCUAUUUUGCCACCUUCUCAGGACACCCUUGCAGAUGGCUGAGCCCCUAGAGAUCCAGAGACCACCGUGGGGGAACACUGAAUGGCCAGCUUUCUGACAACAGACCCAGGUCACAGCACUUUGCAGCAUGACAGCAGCAGGAACCCAGGACAAAGGCCCUUUGUCGUGGUCCUCCCUGGGCCUCAGGGACUGGCUGGAGCCCCCACCUCCUUUAUCCUGUCCUGGCAGAAGAGCAGCAUCUUGAAAUGUGCCCUUCAGGCCUCUCUCCUAAGCUCCACAAUAUGGGAAGAUGCCAACUUGGGACAUUUGGACAGAAACAGAAGCGAGUGUGGAGACAGUUGGUGGACUGUGUUGCAGAAAGAUCUGAAAACAAGGCCAGAGGAAUGCCACACUGCAGAACCGAGCAGGCAGACCAGUCCCCAGAGGAGACGGGGAAGGUGGGGCCACGGGGGGCAGGAGGGAAUGCAAGGAAGGUUGGUUCUCCAGCCAGAGAAGAGAGCUUCCGAGAAAGGCGAGCGCCCUGGUGUUGGUGCUGCCGAGAUGGGCUGGGCCAGAGUGGCUCCGACCAGCGCACGAAGCCAGUCUGGACAUUUCCCAGCUGUAUGUUCAGUUGUGUCGCAUUGCCAGCUUGAAACCAGCCAUGAUGGGAGAAUUGACAGCAUGGAAAUUGGCAAACCUUGCACUUGGUCCUCCCCGCUGUGCUCCAGAGCCAAUUGCUAA
rnacentral:lncRNA from 1 species